UGAGGAAUUUUGCGCAAUGGGAGCAAUCCUGACGCAGCAACGCCGCGUGGGUGAUGAAGGCCUUCGGGUCGUAAAGCCCUGUCAGGUGGGAAGAAUGUCCCGGGACUGAACAGGUUCCGGGAGUGACGGUACCACCAGAGGAAGCACCGGCUAACUCCGUGCCAGCAGCCGCGGUAAUACGGAGGGCGCAAGCGUUAUUCGGAAUUACUGGGCGUAAAGCGCGCGUAGGCGGUCGUGCAAGUCAGAUGUGAAAGCCCUCGGCUCAACCGGGGAACUGCGUCUGAUACUGCUCGACUUGAGUCCGGUAGGGGAUGGCGGAAUUCCCGGUGUAGCGGUGGAAUGCGUAGAUAUCGGGAGGAACAUCAGUGGCGAAGGCGCCCUUCUGGACAGCAACUGACGCUGAGACGCGAAAGCGUGGGGAGCAAACA
rnacentral:rRNA from 1 species